UACGUAGGGGGCAAGCGUUGUCCGGAAUCAUUGGGCGUAAGGCGCGUGUAGGCGGCUCGGUAAGUCCGCUCUGAAAGCCCGGGGCUCAACCCCGGGAGGCGGGUGGAUACUGCUGAGCUCGAGUCCGGAAGAGGAGUGUGGAAUUCCUGGUGUAGCGGUGAAAUGCGCAGAUAUCAGGAGGAACACCAAUGGCGAAGGCAGCACUCUGGGACGGUACUGACGCUGAGACGCGAAAGCGUGGGGAGCAAACAGG
rnacentral:rRNA from 1 species